AUUGAACGCUGGCGGCAUGCCUUACACAUGCAAGUCGAACGGCAGCACGGGAGCAAUCCUGGUGGCGAGUGGCGAACGGGUGAGUAAUAUAUCGGAACGUGCCCAGUAGUGGGGGAUAACUGCUCGAAAGAGCAGCUAAUACCACAUACGACCUGAGGGUGAAAGGGGGGGAUCGCAAGACCUCUCGCUAUUGGAGCGGCCGAUAUCAGAUUAGCUAGUUGGUGGGGUAAAGGCCUACCAAGGCAACGAUCUGUAGUUGGUCUGAGAGGACGACCAGCCACACUGGGACUGAGACACGGCCCAGACUCCUACGGGAGGCAGCAGUGGGGAAUUUUGGACAAUGGGCGCAAGCCUGAUCCAGCAAUGCCGCGUGCAGGAAGAAGGCCUUCGGGUUGUAAACUGCUUUUGUCAGGGAAGAAAUCCUCUAGGUUAAUACCCUUGGGGGGAUGACGGUACCUGAAGAAUAAGCACCGGCUAACUACGUGCCAGCCGCCGCCGUAUAC
rnacentral:rRNA from 1 species